rnacentral:lncRNA from 1 species
GGUUGAUCGUUUCUAACAAAGGACCAGUUGAGAAUGGUAACAGGGCCGGUAAGCAUUCCCUUCAUUGGGCGUUUGGUAAAGCUCUGAGCCAGAGAUGACCAGAAGACGGUCAUUGCCUUUGGGCGGCUCACAUCACCAUAGAUGAUUGGUGGCUUCACGCAACGAGAUCCAUAGGACUGCACCCACCCAUUAACAGUGAAGGCAAAGCCCGACAACUGCUCACCGAAGUACUCAACCAUAUCAUUCCUCUGCAACGAAUGGCUUUCACAAUUAGUUUGGGGUGCAAUUUUAGAAUCAGCAUUUUAACAGUAAGUACAGAAAAUCUAGCAAGACUGGUUGCUCUACAGAAAAAAAAAAGUGGUGCUGUAACAUUUAGACAUUAUGAGAUGAGAGCUGACCUCUGGCUCUCCAUGAACCAGGACAUCAAUAUCAAGCUCUUCUUGAAGUACCACAACUUUGCGAAUUUCCUCCUUGAUUGACGCAACAUAUUCUUCCUCGGAGAUCCUGAAGAAAACAGCAUGAUGGUCAAUAAAAGAAAGGCACAUUAUCAAUGAAAAUAAGACAAAGAUCAGCAGUCUCAGCAUGCUCACUUGUUAGCCUUGAACUCACGGCGUACCCUCCUCAGUUCUACGGUCUGAGGGAAGGAUCCAAUGGUGGUGGUUGGAAGGAUUGGAAGGUUAAGCUUCUUUUGUUGAGCAUCCAGUCUGGCACUGACAUUUGUUGCACGGCGAUGAUCUGAACCCUUCAAUGCAGCAGCCUGAGAGGAAAGAAAAUUAGAAGCCAUGAGUAACAACAGAAUACAUCUUACAAUAUAUCCAUAUUAACAAAGAGAGCAGUUGAAACAAGCACUCACAGCCUUCUGAACAGCCUCGUUAUUCACUCUUGGAGAGGACUUUCUUGAAGCCUGAGCUGCAGCAUUAGCAGAGAAGAAGGCCUGAAAAUGAAACCAUGGAAUAUUUUAUAUUAGUGAAUUGUGUGAUGAAACAAUAUUUAUUCUCAUGGUUCCAAAUUAAUCAUGACGAAUAGUAGAUAUAUGGCCUGCCGCUGGCGCUGCACAUUACAAUUGUAUGCUGUUUUAAUUUACAGCUGCUAAGGUACCCAAAAACUGAAUUUUCUUAAUUGAUUCUAAUGCUAAUGCAUGUAGUACACCUUUCUUUUCUCUCUAUUUAAUUCCAAUGAUAGAUCCACUCUUUCAAUUCUUUUUGAAAUAAUAAGAAAAUCCUACUCGCCUUUUUAUAAAAUAUGAUUUUAUUUUAACUUAGUAUUUAUAACGAAAACCUUCUGAGGGCAUGUUGAGACAUUUGGCCACACUAAAUAACAGUGCAUUUCUCAGGAAACAAACAUAAUCAAAUAAUAUUAAUAAAAUAUAAUAUUUCAUUAAAUUUCAGAUGAAUAUUACCUCAUCCUUGUUGCCAGACAAGGCCUUAGCCAAUGCAUUAACUUCAACAAUUUUUUGGGCAGCAAAAGCUAGCCAUGACUUGAUCUCAUCAUCCAACUUGGUCUCAUUAACAAGAUCAACGGCAGUGUGAAGAAGGGAGGAGGAGGUAGACACAACAAGCUUAUCUGCAUACAGUUUAAAUAAUAGAUACAUCAAGCAACUAUAUUAACUGUAAAAGCAUCCCAAAAUUCAAAGUGAAAUGCAUGCCAAUAAAUACCUUUGCCCACGACGCCCUCAAGACCCUGCAAUGUAGCGAGAGAAGCAGCAAGGUCGUUAGCCCAGAUGUUCCUUCCAUCAACCACUCCAGCAAAGAGGUAUUUUCCACUUGGAAAUCCACCCUUGAUCAAAUCAACAGUCUUGGUUCCACGGACUAAAUCAAAUCCAUAUGCAGUGACGCCGUUCAGAGAUGUGAGAGUCUUGUAUGUCUCAGCUGGGAUGUCAGCAAAGUAGGUCUCAAUAAGAACAUUCAAACCAGACAAAGCAGGUGCAAGUUCUGCAUAUGCAUCGGUAAAUGCUUGCAACUUGUGAGACUCAAGGUCCAAGACAAGGGUAGGCUCAUCAAAUUGAAUCCAUGAAGCACCAGCUGCCUUAAGGUCAGCAAUAACUUCCCUGUGUUAUUAGUCAUAUAAGCAAGUUAGACAAAUAGCAUGAAUAUACAAAGAAAUAAUAACACCCAACAAAUUAAAACUCUUACUUGUAGACAGCAAGAACUUUGGGAAGGAGAGAGAGGAGAGAAAAGGAUUUCUCGACACCCUUGGCAGGCUUGGAGAGCAACAAGUAUGUGACUGGGCCAACGAGGACGGGAAUGGUCUCCACUCCAAGCUGGAAAGACAAACAAAUAUUCGAUGAUAAUGUUGAUAUACACAAACACAUGAAAUGAGCAAAGAAAUAAAUUUUAUCACAAUGACCAACACAGGACAACGUACGAACACAAAAACUAUGCAACGGAACAAUUCCCUGUCAAGCACUGGCUUGGCCAAUGUAAACCAGAAAUUCAAAAAAUACGAAAAUUAACAGUCAUUUCUCACAUUUCACCCUGAUCUAAAUAACAUCUCAUAAAAAAACAAAGCUUCUCUAUGAUAAGAUAACGCAAAUGGCCUUUCAAUUUUAACACAUACCGCCUUGGCCUCCUUGUAUUCCUCAACAGCCUUGUGAGAAGCAUAGGUGAAGUUCACAUCAGGUCCCAAUUCAGGGACAAUAAAGUGGCUGGAUCAGCACAACAACAGUUCAGUAAUCAGAUCAUUACAAUACAACAUUAAUAACACAACAGUCGCAAUAUCAGUAGGCAUCAUCACUUACUAGUUGGUGUCGAACCACUUGGUCAUCUCCAUAGCAGGCACGGUAGCAUUACCUCUGGCCAUGGAGAAGUAGGUAUCAAAACCAAUCUCACCACCGGUCCAGCCAUACCUUGGAGGGACGGCGCCAAGGGUAGCGGUGGCAUCAAGCACCUGAUCAUAGUAAGAGAAAGUGUUGCUGGGGAUGUACUUGAUCCCAGCAUCAGCCAUCUGCUUCCAGAUGGAUGCCCUGAGACCAGCAGCCACCAACUGCAAAGCCUCGGCGGUGCUCUUGCCAUCCCAGAAAGACUCGAGAGCGAACUUAAGCUCUCUCUUGG